UACGUAGGUGGCAAGCGUUGUCCGGAUUUAUUGGGUUUAAAGGGUGCGUAGGCGGCUUUGUAAGUCAGUGGUGAAAUAUGGCAGCUCAACUGUCAAGGUGCCAUUGAUACUGCGGAGCUUGAGUACAGAUGAGGUAGGCGGAAUUGACGGUGUAGCGGUGAAAUGCGCAGAUAUCAGGAGGAACACCGGUGGCGAAGGCGGGUCUCUGGGCCGAAAUUGACGCUGAGGAGCGAAAGCGUGGGGAGCAAACAGG
rnacentral:rRNA from 1 species